rnacentral:rRNA from 1 species
CAGUAGCCGCGGUAAUACGUAGGGUGCAAGCGUUAGUCGGAAUUACUGGGCGUAAAGCGUGCGCAGGCGGUCCGCUAAGACAGAUGUGAAAUCCCCGGGCUUAACCUGGGAACUGCAUUUGUGACUGGCGGGCUAGAGUAUGGCAGAGGGGGGUAGAAUUCAACGUGUAGCAGUGAAAUGCGUAGAGAUGUGGAGGAAUACCGAUGGCGAAGGCAGCCCCCUGGGCCAAUACUGACGCUCAUGCACGAAAGCGUGGGGAGCGAACAGGAUUAGAUACCCCCGUAGUCCCUGUCUCUUAUAC